CCUACGGGAGACAGCAGUGGGGAAUAUUGGACAAUGGGGGGAACCCUGAUCCAGCGACGCCGCGUGAGUGAAGAAGUAUUUCGGUAUGUAAAGCUCUAUCAGCAGGGAAGAAAAUGACGGUACCUGACUAAGAAGCCCCGGCUAACUACGUGCCAGCAGCCGCGGUAAUACGUAGGGGGCAAGCGUUAUCCGGAUUUACUGGGUGUAAAGGGAGCGUAGACGGUGCAGCAAGUCUUAUGUGAAAGGUCGGGGCCCAACCCCGGGACUGCAUUGGAAACUGUUGAACUGGAGUGCAGGAGAGGUAAGCGGAAUUCCUAGUGUAGCGGUGAAAUGCGUAGAUAUUAGGAGGAACACCAGUGGCGAAGGCGGCUUACUGGACUGUAACUGACGUUGAGGCUCGAAAGCGUGGGGAGCAAACAGGAUUAGAUACCCCUGUAGUC
rnacentral:rRNA from 1 species